GACGAACGCUGGCGGCGUGCUUAACACAUGCAAGUCGAACGGUGAACCACUUCGGUGGGGAUCAGUGGCGAACGGGUGAGUAACACGUGGGCAACCUGCCCUCAGCUCUGGGAUAACUCCAAGAAAUUGGGGCUAAUACCGGAUAUGACUGCUGACCGCAUGGUCUGGUGGUGGAAAGAUUUAUCGGCUGGGGAUGGGCCCGCGGCCUAUCAGCUUGUUGGUGGGGAGUGGCCUACCAAGGCGACGACGGGUAGCCGGCCUGAGAGGGUGACCGGCCACACUGGGACUGAGACACGGCCCAGACUCCUACGGGAGGCAGCAGUGGGGGAAUAUUGCGCAAUGGGCGGAAGCCUGACGCAGCGACGCCGCGUGGGGA
rnacentral:rRNA from 1 species